GAGGAAAGGAAAUCAACAGAUACUCCCCUAGUAGCGGCGAGCGAACGGGGACCAGCCGAGCCUCAAUUGUGGUUAGAAUGCGUUGGAAUGCGCAACCAAAGUGGGUGAUAGUCCCGUAUAAGAAGCAUGAGAGGACGUAUUAAGUAGGGCGGAACACGUGAAAUUCUGUCUGAAGAUCGGAGGACCACCUUCGAAGGCUAAGUACUCCUUACUGACCGAUAGCGAACCAGUACCGUGAGGGAAAGGUGAAAAGCACCCCGACGAGGGGAGUGAAACAGUACCUGAAACCGAACGCCUAC
rnacentral:rRNA from 1 species